rnacentral:tRNA from 1 species
UCUAAUGUGGCAGAUUAGUGCAAUGGAUUUAAGGCCCAUAUAUAAAGCAAGCUUUCUUUAGAA